rnacentral:rRNA from 1 species
GACGAACGCUGGCGGCGUGCUUAACACAUGCAAGUCGAGCGGUAAGGCCCUUUCGGGGGUACACGAGCGGCGAACGGGUGAGUAACACGUGGGUGACCUGCCCUCAGCUCUGGGAUAAGCCUGGGAAACCGGGUCUAAUACCGGAUAUGACUCCAUGACGCAUGUUGUGGGGUGGAAAGCCUUGUGCGGCUGAGGAUGGGCCCGCGGCCUAUCAGCUUGUUGGUGGGGUGAUGGCCUACCAAGGCGACGACGGUAGCCGGCCUGAGAGGCGACCGGCCACACUGGGACUGAGACACGGCCCAGACUCCUACGGGAGGCAGCAGUGGGGAAUCUUGCGCAAUGGGCGAAAGCCUGACGCAGCGACGCCGCGUGAGGGAUGACGGCCUCGG